UUCAGAGCACGGGAUGAUGCCCAACCAACUGAACUACACCAGCCAGGGCAGAACGCCUUAUUUCUUCUGACCAUGUAAGCCUUUUAGGUGACUCAGGAGAAAAGUCCAUGUGCUUCUCUGUACCAUAUUGUGUCUACCAGAUGAUUAGGCAGAAUAAUAUAGGAUAUAAUGUUUCUUAUAUAGUCAUUUUGUAUGUAAAUUGUGCAAAUUUACCAAGUGAGUAGGUACAUGUACCCAUUUGGCCAGUGUAUUUGUCUUAGACUCAUACUAAUGCAAUGCAUAUUUUCUUUUGCAUUUUUUUCUAUUCUGAUUACUAAUUUCCCAAAUGCUAAGUGCCUUACUAGGUAUGUCUUAUGUGUAUUAUAAAUUUUUUUCUAGAAAUCAGUGACUUAGAGGGUUUAGCCUGUGUAAAUGUAAGAUGUUAGAGGGUUUAGCCAGUGUGAAAUCCUGACACGUUAUUUCUAAUAGUCAGCAAGCACUUACCGAGUUCAUUGAGUCUGAUGAGAAGAUUAGAGAUGUGGUCCUGCUCCCUGGGGACCUCCGACUGGUUACCACAUGAAAAUCCCAGUACCUGAAUCCCUCUUCUCAACUGGCUGCCCUACUGUUCCUGAGAACCUGAACUCAUUAAAUGUGACUCUGCUGGUUUUGGACAGUU